AAUGAACGCUGGCGGCGCGCCUAAUACAUGCAAGUCGAGCGAGAAGACGUAGCAAUACGUUUGUAAAGCGGCGAACGGGUGAGGAAUACAUGGGUAACCUACCCUCGAGUGGGGAAUAACUAGCCGAAAGGUUAGCUAAUACCGCGUACGCUUCUUGGACUUCGGUUCAGGGAGGAAAGCGAUACCGUGGGUAUCGCGCUCUUGGAUGGGCUCAUGUCCUAUCAGCUUGUUGGUGAGGUAACGGCUCACCAAGGCUUCGACGGGUAGCUGGUCUGAGAGGACGAUCAGCCACACUGGCACUGCGACACGGGCCAGACUCCUACGGGAGGCAGCAGUAAGGAAUAUUGCGCAAUGGGCAAAGCCUGACGCAGCGACGCCGCGUGGGGGAU
rnacentral:rRNA from 1 species